rnacentral:rRNA from 1 species
CCUACGGGUGGCAGCAGUGGGGAAUAUUGGACAAUGGGGGGAACCCUGAUCCAGCCAUGCCGCGUGUGUGAAGAAGGCCCUCGGGUUGUAAAGCACUUUCAGUGAGGAAGAACGCCUGGUGGUUAAUACCCAUCAGGAAAGACAUCACUCACAGAAGAAGCACCGGCUAACUCCGUGCCAGCAGCCGCGGUAAUACGGACGGGUGCGAGCGUUAAUCGGAAUUACUGGGCGUAAAGCGCGCGUAGGUGGCUUGAUAAGCCGGUUGUGAAAGCCCCGGGCUCAACCUGGGAACGGCAUCCGGAACUGUCAAGCUAGAGUGCAGGAGAGGAAGGUAGAAUUCCCGGUGUAGCGGUGAAAUGCGUAGAGAUCGGGAGGAAUACCAGUGGCGAAGGCGGCCUUCUGGACUGACACUGACACUGAGGUGCGAAAGCGUGGGUAGCAAACAGGAUUAGAUACCCCGGUAGUC